ACACGACUACAUUAGAUACCCGGGUAGUCCCAGCCCUAAACGAUGCGCGUUAGGUGUAUCGGUGACCACGAGUCACCGAGGUGCCGAAGGGAAACCGUGAAACGUGCCGCCUGGGAAGUACGGUCGCAAGGCUGAAACUUAAAGGAAUUGCGGGGGAGCACCACAACGGGUGGAGCCUGCGGUUUAAUUGGACUCAACGCCGGGAAGCUCACCGGAUAAGACAGCGGAAUGAUUGCCGGGCUGAAGACCCUGCAUGACCAGCUG
rnacentral:rRNA from 1 species